GACCCACAGUGUCAGGCAACGUGUCAAUCUUUUUCACUGUGAAUUAAAACGACGAUGUGCUGCAAUAAAACUACGUUGGAAAAUUUUUAAGAAAUAUUGUUUCAUAUGAAUUUUAUAAAUAUAAUUAUUCACCUAUUGAUUAAUAACCGCCCAUACGGUAGAUUUUGAAGUAACAAACGUUUUAUUCAUUCGAGUAUCGUGGUGACAAUUAUAAAUCUUAAUGGAUCUAAAUAAAUUUUAUUUUGUUGUUUUCUACAAGCUCGUGAGAGCUUCACGAUGAAAAGGUUAAAGAGCGAGGAGAAGCACACGUGGAUUUCGGAUAUAAUUAUUUAUUUAUUGAUUAAUAACUUCCCAAACUCCCCAACUUCCCAUAUGGCGGAUUUUGGAAUAACAAACACAUUAAUGAUUCAUAUAUCGUCGUGGCAGAUAUAAAGCUAAACCAUU
rnacentral:misc_RNA from 1 species